rnacentral:lncRNA from 13 species
AUCAACAAGCGGUUAGCCGAAUGACUCAAAUCUGUAUGUACAGGACAUUAAGACUAUGGCUGCAUAACGAUUGGAUAUUUUCGUUAACGUCAAAAGGUAGAGAGCAAAA